UACGGAGGGUGCAAGCGUUAUCCGGAUUUACUGGGUUAAAGGUGCGCAGGCGGAUAUGUAAGUCAGUGGUGAAAUCUCUGGCUUAACCCGGAAAUUGCCAUUGAUACUAUAUAUCUUGAAUGUUGUGGAGGUAAGCGGAAUAUGUCAUGUAGCGGUGAAAUGCUUAGAUAUGACAUAGAACACCUAUUGCGAAGGCAGCUUACUACGCAGAUAUUGACGCUCAUGCACGAAGCGUGGGAUCAACAG
rnacentral:rRNA from 1 species